UGAUGCGGUAGAGGAGCGUUCUGUAAGCCUGUGAAGGUGAGUUGAGAAGCUUGCUGGAGGUAUCAGAAGUGCGAAUGCUGACAUGAGUAACGAUAAUGGGUGUGAAAAACACCCACGCCGAAAGACCAAGGUUUCCUGCGCAACGUUAAUCGACGCAGGGUUAGUCGGUCCCUAAGGCGAGGCUGAAAAGCGUAGUCGAUGGAAAACAGGUUAAUAUUCCUGUACUUCUGGUUAUUGCGAUGGAGGGACGGAGAAGGCUAGGCCAGCUUGGCGUUGGUUGUCCAAGUUUAAGGUGGUAGGCUGGAAUCUUAGGUAAAUCCGGGAUUCUAAGGCCGAGAGCUGAUGACGAGUGUUCUUUUAGAACACGAAGUGGUUGAUGCCAUGCUUCCAAGAAAAGCUUCUAAGCUUCAGGUAACCAGGAACCGUACCCCAAACCGACACAGGUGGUUGGGUAGAGAAUACCAAGGCGCUUGAGAGAACUCGGGUGAAGGAACUAGGCAAAAUGGCACCGUAACUUCGGGAGAAGGUGCGCCGAUGGAGGUGAAGCAUUUACUGCGUAAGCCCCUGUCGGUCGAAGAUACCAGGCCGCUGCGACUGUUUAUUAAAAACACAGCACUCUGCAAACACGAAAGUGGACGUAUAGGGUGUGACGCCUGCCCGGUGCCGGAAGGUUAAUUGAUGGGGUUAGCUAACGCGAAGCUCUUGAUCGAAGCCCCGGUAAACGGCGGCCGUAACUAUAACGGUCCUAAGGUAGCGAAAUUCCUUGUCGGGUAAGUUCCGACCUGCACGAAUGGCGUAACGAUGGCGGCGCUGUCUCCACCCGAGACUCAGUGAAAUUGAAAUCGCUGUGAAGAUGCAGUGUAUCCGCGGCUAGACGGAAAGACCCCGUGAACCUUUACUAUAGCUUUGCACUGGACUUUGAAUUUGCUUGUGUAGGAUAGGUGGGAGGCUUUGAAGCGUGAACGCCAGUUUGCGUGGAGCCAACCUUGAAAUACCACCCUGGCAACUUUGAGGUUCUAACUCAGGUCCGUUAUCCGGAUCGAGGACAGUGUAUGGUGGGUAGUUUGACUGGGGCGGUCUCCUCCUAAAGAGUAACGGAGGAGUACGAAGGUGCGCUCAGACCGGUCGGAAAUCGGUCGUAGAGUAUAAAGGCAAAAGCGCGCUUGACUGCGAGACAGACACGUCGAGCAGGUACGAAAGUAGGUCUUAGUGAUCCGGUGGUUCUGUAUGGAAGGGCCAUCGCUCAACGGAUAAAAGGUACUCCGGGGAUAACAGGCUGAUACCGCCCAAGAGUUCAUAUCGACGGCGGUGUUUGGCACCUCGAUGUCGGCUCAUCACAUCCUGGGGCUGAAGCCGGUCCCAAGGGUAUGGCUGUUCGCCAUUUAAAGUGGUACGCGAGCUGGGUUUAGAACGUCGUGAGACAGUUCGGUCCCUAUCUGCCGUGGACGUUUGAGAUUUGAGAGGGGCUGCUCCUAGUACGAGAGGACCGGAGUGGACGAACCUCUGGUGUUCCGGUUGUCACGCCAGUGGCAUUGCCGGGUAGCUAUGUUCGGGAAAGAUAACCGCUGAAAGCAUCUAAGCGGGAAACUUGCCUCAAGAUGAGAUCUCACUGGAACCUUGAGUUCCCUAAAGGGCCGUCGAAGACUACGACGUUGAUAGGUUGGGUGUGUAAGCGCUGUGAGGCGUUGAGCUAACCAAUACUAAUUGCCCGUGAGGCUUGACCAUAUAACACCCAAGCAAUU
rnacentral:rRNA from 1 species